rnacentral:snRNA from 1 species
AGUAUGAGGAUGAUCUGGUUGUGGCAUCUGUUCCCUAAACCUGCCAGGAUGAUUUAGGCUGAUCUGGGUGGCUAGGAGAGUGUCCCCUUUCUCCCUCACCACUCUGCGAGCAUCUCUCCAAAGCUGCAUGCUCCGUCAAAGAGAAAAACUUUCCCCAAAAGAGUAGAAUCAUUCCUUCAUUAAGAAUGUAUGAGUA